rnacentral:rRNA from 1 species
GUAUAACCUGCCAGACAGGGAAACUGCGUACGGCUCAUUACACCAGCCUUAAUUUACUUGACCUUGACAACCUACUUGGAUAACUGUGGUAAUUCUAGAGCUAAUACAUGCACCAAAGCUCCGAUCCUCGCGGAGAGGAGCGCAUUUGUUCUCCACAAAACCAAGCGCCCAUCUGGGCGUCCAGUGCUGAACCAGAACAACUCAGCUGAUCGCACGGUCUUGUACCGGCGACGUGUCUUUCAAGUGUCUGCCUUAUCAACUUUCGAUGGUAGUGUACCUGACUACCAUGGUUGUGACGGGUAACGGAGGAUAAGGGUUCGACUCCGGAGAAGGGGCCUGAGAAAUGGCCACUACGUCUAAGGAUGGCAGCAGGCGCGCAAAUUACCCACUCUCAACGCGAGGAGGUAGUGACGAGAAAUAACGAGACCGUUCUCAUACGAGGCCGGUUAUUGGAAUGGGUACAAUUUAAA